rnacentral:rRNA from 1 species
CGGCGGUCAAGACCGGAGGAAGUGGGGAUGACGUCAAGUCAUCAUGCCCCUUAUGUCCUGGGCUGCACACGUGCUACAAUGGCCGGUACAAUGGGCUGCGAUGCCGCGAGGCGGAGCGAAUCCCAUAAAACCGGUCCCAGUUCGGAUCGGAGGCUGCAACCCGCCUCCGUGAAGUCGGAGUUGCUAGUAAUCGCGGAUCAGCAUGCCGCGGUGAAUACGUUCCCGGGCCUU